rnacentral:rRNA from 1 species
AAACCAGCACCUCAAGUGGUCAGGAGGAUUAUUGGGCCUAAAGCAUCCGUAGCCUGUUCUGUAAGUUUUCGGUUAAAUCCAUUAGCUCAACUAAUGGGCCGCCGAAAAUACUGCAUAACUAGGGAGUGGGAGAGGUAGACGGUACUCGGUAGGAAGGGGUAAAAUCCUUUGAUCUAUUGAUGACCACCUGUGGCGAAGGCGGUCUACCAGAACACGUUCGACGGUGAGGGAUGAAAGCUGGGGGAGCGAACCGGAUUAGAUACCCGAGUAGUCC